UAAACGACUCUCGGCAACGGAUAUCUCGGCUCUCGCAUCGAUGAAGAACGUAGCGAAAUGCGAUACUUGGUGUGAAUUGCAGAAUCCCGUGAACCAUCGAGUCUUUGAACGCAAGUUGCGCCCGAAGCCAUUAGGUUGAGGGCACGUCUGCCUGGGCGUCUCG
rnacentral:rRNA from 4 species